GGAGAGGUGCCGGAGUGGCCGAACGGGCACGACUGGAAAUCGUGUGUUGGGUAUCCCCCAACCGAGGGUUCGAAUCCCUCUCUCUCCG
rnacentral:tRNA from 1 species